GUAAGAUCCCUCGAAGAUGACGAGGUCGAUAGGUCCGAGGUGGAAGCGUGGCGACACGUGCAGCUGACGGAUACUAAUCGAUCGAGGACUUAACCAA
rnacentral:rRNA from 1 species